rnacentral:rRNA from 1 species
UUUAUUUGAGAGUUUGAUCCUGGCUCAGGACGAACGCUGGCGGCGUGCCUAAUACAUGCAAGUUGAGCGCUGAAGGUUGGUACUUGUACCGACUGGAUGAGCAGCGAACGGGUGAGUAACGCGUGGGGAAUCUGCCUUUGAGCGGGGGACAACAUUUGGAAACGAAUGCUAAUACCGCAUAAAAACUUUAAACACAAGUUUUAAGUUUGAAAGAUGCAAUUGCAUCACUCAAAGAUGAUCCCGCGUUGUAUUAGCUAGUUGGUGAGG